rnacentral:rRNA from 1 species
AGAAUCAACGCUGGCGGCGUGCCUAACACAUGCAAGUCGAACGAGAAAGUGGAGCAAUCCACGAGUAAAGUGGCGCACGGGUGAGUAACACGUGACUAACCUACCCUUGAGUGGGGGAUAACCUAGAGAAAUCUGGGCUAAUACCGCAUAAUACCUUCGGGUCAAAGGAGCAAUUCGCUUAAGGAGGGGGUCGCGGCCGAUUAGUUAGUUGGCGGGGUAAUGGCCCACCAAGACUAUGAUCGGUAUCCGGCCUGAGAGGGCGCACGGACACACUGGAACUGAAACACGGUCCAGACUCCUACGGGAGGCAGCAGUGGGGAAUUUGCGCAAUGGGGGAAACCCUGACGCAGCAACGCCGCGUGGAGGAUGAAGUCCCUUGGGACGUAAACUCCUUUCGAUCGGGACGAUAAUGACGGUACCGAGAGAAGAAGCCCCGGCUAACUUCGUGCCAGCAGCCGC